AGGAUGAACGCUGGCGGCGUGCCUAAUACAUGCAAGUCGAGCGGCAGCGCAGGGUGCUUGCACCCUGGCGGCGAGCGGCGGACGGCUGAGUAACGCGUAGGAACGUACCCUAAAGUGAGGAAUAACUGCCCGAAAGGGUGGCUAAUGCCGCAUGUGCUCUUCGGAGUAAAGCUUCGGCGCUUUGGGAACGGCCUGCGUCCGAUUAGCUAGUUGGUAAGGUAAUGGCUUACCAAGGCUACGAUCGGUAGCUGGUCUGAGAGGAUGACCAGCCAGACUGGGACUGAGAACGGCCCAGACUCCUACGGGAGGCAGCAGUAGGGAAUUUUCCACAAUGGGCGAAAGCCUGAUGGAGCAACGCCGCGUGCAGGAUGAGCCUUCGGGUCGUAAACUGCUUUCUCUGUGAGGAAUAUGACAGUAGCGAGAGGAAUAAGGAUCGGCUAACUUCGUGCCAGCAGCCGC
rnacentral:rRNA from 1 species